AAAGUUUAGUUAUUCUGUUUAACUCUUUUUUUUAUUCCUACAACUCUCGAUUCCCCAAAAACUCACAGCCUACCGUGAUUUCAUUGACCAUCUUCACUCAAAACAACAAAAAAUCACAACCUACGCCUCCUUCUCUCUCUACCGACCAAAUCCCAAUAGCUCUGUUCCAAACCAGAUCCAUUGUCAAGCAACCACCACCGGAACAACCACCUAUCAAUCAUCGUCAAGGGCAGACACUCUUAAGAAAGCAGCUAGAUUACUAUUUAGGAUCAAGAGAGAAGGGUUCUGGGGAUCAAAACCAUUUACGAGUUGAUUUCAAAGGAGAGAAUACAAAAGACAGGUCUAUGGUUUUGAAAUCAAUCAAUGAGAACAGACUCCCCUAUGUGUUAAAAACAAAGAGGGACUAGCAUAUACUGUUUGAUAUGAUGGCUGUGAAUAUCACCAUGCCUCUAUUAUGAUGCUAUUACAGGGAGAUACAGAAGAAGAUUUUAUCACCGUUUUUACGUUUGAAGUACGGAGAUUAUGUUUUUUAAACUGUUUUUUGUUUUAAAUAUAUUAAAAUAAUUUUUUUUUCUGGCAAAUCAAA